rnacentral:lncRNA from 1 species
GGAUGUUCAAUGGAAACGUGGUUUAUUUGAAAGAAAAUGAGAUUUGGACUUAUAAUAGUAUUAAAAUUUGGGCUCUUCCACUUACUAGGGGUCUAAUCUUAUUAACCAAUUUUGUUAAAAAUUAUUAAAAAGUUUGAAAUAAUGUAAGAGGGUGACUGAAUGCAUUUUCAGUGGCAUACUCUAGCAUCGUCUAACCAGCCAACACAAGCGUUAUUUAUUUAUCUAGGACUAUAUAUCUGUUUGACUUAAUGAUUUAUUGUUUCAUUAGAACCCAAACACUGUGUAGUUACAUGUUAAUCUGUACAUUGUUGGGGAGUGGCAGCCAGGAGAAAGAUAAACCCAAAGAUUAUGGUUUUAUUGCCCUGUAGGACAUUAACCAUUUUUCUAUGUAACCUAGCAAUUGUAUUCUAACAUUCUUUUGUUGAUGUUGUAUUGUCAAAAAUGCUUUUAGUGGGGCUGGCCUGAUGGCUUAGCAGUUAAUUUCAUGUACUCUGCUUUGGUGGCCCUGGGUUCACUGAUUGGGAUCCCAGUCACAGACCUCCACACUGUUUAUCAAGUCAUGCUGUUGCAGGCGUCCCACAUAUAGAGGAAGAUGGGCACAGAUAUUAUCUCAGGGCCAAUCUUCCUCAGCAAAAAGAGGAGGAUUGGCAGCAGAUGUUAGCUCAGGACUAAUCUUCCACACCAAAAAAAUGCUUCUAGUGAUGAACUAUAGAAACCGCUGUUUCACAAAAAAGGUUUGUGGUUCUUAGAACCACUUUUAUCAUCUCAUUGAUUUCCACAUUAAUUAAUUAGUUAAAUAAAAUCAUUGAUACGUGUUUAUUCCAUAAUGUUGAAAGUCAUGGACUUAAUUUUUAAAAAUUUAUGCUCAAAGUGCACUAAACUCACAGAAAAAUAGUAAUGAUGAUACACUUACCCCCAUAGCUAUUUUUAUGGGAAAAAAUGAGUAUAUGUGUAUGUACCUGCACCAUAGUCUCCCAAUAACUAGUAUUUGUAUUUAGCAUUACUUUCUCUUUAUCUGGUAUGUUGCACCUAAUAGGAACUCAAUAUUGAUUUCUUGAACAUAUGUAUCGUUGAAUACAAAUACAGUUACUUGUUGAGUAACUGACUGAAUUAUCAACAACGAAUUGGCAAAAAUAGCCACACUUACAUCUUCAAUGAGCCUAAAUUUCUAGGUGUUAAUUGACACUGAAAUGCUAAGUUUUGGUCUGUUUUCCUAAGUCUGAGCUGUCUAACUUUUUAUCUAGACUUUUUAUUUUAAGGUAAUUGUCGAUUCGCAUGCAGUUAGAAAUAACACAGGGUGAUCCCGUGUACCCGUUACCCAGUUUCCUCCAAUGGUAACACCUUGCAAAACUCUAGUACAAUGUCACCACCAGGAUAUUGACCCUAAUAUUCAUUCAUUGGUGAAACUUUCUAUUUCUUUGCUGAGGCUUUCCACUUUUUCAUUUCUCUCAAGCAUGUUCAUAAUUGCUCACUGGAACAUUUUUAUGAUAGUUCCUUUAGAAUAUUUAUUAAACAAUUCUGACAUCUCUGUGAUCUUGGCGUUACCAUCUAUCGGUUUUCUUUCUGCACUCAGUUCAGAUCUUCCUGGUUCUUGUUAUGAUGAGUGAUUUUUGAUGGAAACCAGAACAUGUUGGGUAUUGUGAUAUGCAGCUCUGGAUUUUAUUUAAACCUUCUAUUUUAUCUGGCUGCUUCUGCCAAGGUUCUGGCUAGGAAAAGGAAAAAGUGGUUCCUUGUUACUGCAGGGGAGGGAGAAGUCCAAGAUUUCCACUCAGCCUCUGUUGACACAUGAUGAGGGAAGAUGUCCCCAUUUCUUCUGGGUGGGGUAGGAGUUCUGAUUCCCCACUAGGCCUCCAUGGCAGCUCCCUGGUUGGGAGGAGUGGGAGUGCCCCCUUACUGCUGCCCAUGUGGCUUCACUACCCUGAGACAGAAAGGGAGCCUUGUAACUACUGGACCAUGAUGGAAGCCCUCACUCUCCACUUGGCCUCCUCUAAGACAACACCUGUUGGGGGGAGGGGUGCUUCAUUGUUGGCAUGUAGGGGGAAGUCUAUGCACCCCACCUGGCAGGAGAGGGCCUGGGCACUGCCCAGAAGUGAGAAAUGUCCUGUCUGUCCACUUGGCCAUCUCUGAUACCACCCUGGCAGCUUGCCUUGUUGCAGGUGGAAAGGGUGGCUGUCCACACUCCCCACUUGGCCUUUCCUGGUGAGAGUGGGCCACAGAUUUUGCCAUGAUGUUUGAGUGGAUUAGAGCAGUUCUUGUCUAAAAGUUUUCUGUCUUGCUAGCCUGUCCGUUUCCUGAUCUUUUUGAUAGAGAGAGCAGACUUUUGUUAGGGCUUUUUAAUGUUGUAAGUGCUCCGGCCUUUCCAGGUUGUUGGCUUCUUCAGACCCAAGUCUAGGACAUAUGAAGC